UUUGUGAACCGAAUUUCGGCCGAAAUUCGUCAUUAGGUUGACGAGCGAGUUAUCAUACAUGUCACGCCCAGAUCCCUUGCGGGGUAGAACGUUCAUAAAAAAUAAAUAUGUUCAUUUACAUAAUUUGAUUAUAGGUUUAGUUAGGUGAAAUGUAUUAUGGAGUUAUUUAUGUGUUAAUUAUGUAAAUGUGUUAAGGAAUUAUUUUUUCUUGAGUAGGUACUCAAAGUCAAUGGCAUUAUUUAAAUAAAACUCAGAAUUACUACCACCACGAGAUAUUAGUGACUCGCAUACAAACUACAUUUUACUUUGUUUGGUUCAUUUACUUCUAAAAAGAAAGUCCAAACACCUGAUAUUUUUCACCCAGUCAUUGUUCUUACAUGCAGCACUUACAUACAGCACUGUUUUAAUAACUUUUUGAGUAUUUUAACUAUUUCACUCGUGUCACGGAUGACGCAAUAAUGAGCGGCAGGCCAGCUCGGUGACGUGGGGGCUACUGCAAGCGAUCGCGUAAACAAUUCGUAACGUGAAACAUUGAAGAAAAGGCGGGAAUAUCAACCGAACUUCAUUCGGCGUUGUCUUAAACCGAAUGUUCGGCCGAAGUUCGAAUUCGGUUCAAUCCACAUUCGGCCCAUCACUAAUCUGAAAACUGUAUAUUUGAUCAAUUCAUGAAGGUCGGUGGAAGGAGUCGACAGCAUUCUUAGGCCCAACUUACUACUUAGUAGUAAAAAUGAUGCAAAUGUUUUGACUUUGAGUAGCAACUCUUAGAAAACUGUAUAUUUGAUCGAUUCAUGAAGGUUGUUGGAAGGAGUCGACAGCAUUCUUAGGCCAAACUUACUACUUCGGGAUAAAAUUUAUGCAAAUGUAUUGACUUUGAGUAGCAACGCUUAGAAAACUGUAUAUUUGAUCGAUUCAUGAAGGUUGUUGGAAGGAGUCGACAGCAUUCUUAGGCGAAACUUACUACUUUAGGGAAAACUUUAUGCAAAUGUAUUGACUAUGAGUGGCAACGCUUAGAAAACUGUAUAUUUGACCGAUUCAUGAAGGUUGUUGGAAGGAGUCGACAGCAUUCUUAGGCGAAACUUACUACUUUGGGGAAAAAUUUAUGCAAAUGUAAUGACUAUGAGUGGCAACGCUUAGAAAACUGUAUAUUUGACCGAUUCAUGAAGGUUGGUGAAAGGAGUCGACAGCAUUCUUAGGCGAAACUUACUACUUUAGGGAAAACUUUAUGCAAAUGUAUUGACUAUGAGUGGCAACGCUUAGAAAACUGUAUAUUUGACCGAUUCAUGAAGGUUGGUGAAAGGAGUCGACAGCAUUCUUUGGCGAAACUUAGUACUUUGGGGAAAACUUUAUGCAAAUGUAUUGACUAUGAGUGGCAACGCUUAGAAAACUGUAUAUUUGAUCGAUUCAUGAAGGUUGUUGGAAGGAGUCGACAGCAUUCUUAGGCGAAACUUACUACUUUGGGGAAAACUUUAUGCAGAUGUAUUGACUAUGAGUGGCAACGCUUAGAAAACUGUAUAUUUGAUCGAUUCAUGAAGGUUGUUGGAAGGAGUCGACAGCAUUCUUAGGCGAAACUUACUACUUUGGGGAAAAAUUUAUACAAAUGUAAUGACUAUGAGUGGCAACGCUUAGAAAACUGUAUAUUUGACCGAUUCAUGAAGGUUGGUGAAAGGAGUCGACAGCAUUCUUAGGCGAAACUUACUACUUUAGGGAAAACUUUAUGCAAAUGUAUUGACUAUGAGUGGCAACGCUUAGAAAACUGUAUAUUUGAUCGAUUCAUGAAGGUUGUUGGAAGGAGUCGACAGCAUUCUUAGGCGAAACUUACUACUUUAGGGAAAACUUUAAGCAAAUGUAUUGACUAUGAGUGGCAACGCUUAGAAAACUGUAUAUUUGACCGAUUCAUGAAGGUUGGUGAAAGGAGUCGACAGCUUUCUUUGGCGAAACUUAGUACUUUGGGGAAAACUUUAUGCAGAUGUAUUGACUAUGAGUGGCAACGCUUAGAAAACUGUAUAUUUGAUCGAUUCAUGAAGGUUUUUGGAAGGAGUCGACAGCAUUCUUAGGCGAAACUUACUACUUUGGGGAAAACUUUAUGCAGAUGUAUUGACUAUGAGUGGCAACGCUUAGAAAACUGUAUAUUUGACCGAUUCAUGAAGGUUGGUGAAAGGAGUCGACAGCAUUCUUAGGCGAAACUUACUACUUUAGGGAAAACUUUAUGCAAAUGUAUUGACUAUGAGUGGCAACGCUUAGAAAACUGUAUAUUUGAUCGAUUCAUGAAGGUUGGUCGAAGGUUGGAUGGUUGGCAUUAUUUUAAUAAAACUCAGAAUUACUACCAC